CACAGCUCCUCUCUCUCUCUUGCUGCCCUUCUCCUUCACCGUUCGAACUCCAGCGCUCAUCUCACGCCAGCUGCUCCGCCAUUAUUUGGUUUCCCUCGGUCAACUCCAGCAGAAUUCUCCAAGUGAAGCCAAUUUGUUGACCUCCAAAGCUCCACCGAAGACCCUCAUCUCACGCCAGCAGGUUACCCGAAGCAGCUCCAGUUUACGUGGCCGUCUUCAGCUUCUUCAGUCCACGGUUCCACCGGUUUGUUGACCUUGCACCGCCUUCUUCAUCCAGCUGCGCGAAGACCAGUUGCCGAAACAACUCCAUCGCCCCGCCCCAUCUUGGACCGCCAGCAGAACCCACCGAACUCCCCCUCGCUUCCUCGUUGUUGCCUCCAUUUUUCCGUGUGAAGAAAACCGAGCGAAGCCUCCACCGCUUGCAGCAGCUCCUUCGACAACGUCCCAGCUGCAGCUUUCCUACACGCGUACGAGACACCACCCAACGAAGACUGCACAGCUCACGCGUGAUUUUCCUGCUCCACGCGGCCAGCGUCCAUUUCCUUUGCUCGUGGACCAGCCGCAGCGAGCCCAUUCCGGUUUUCAGUGGCCCAAUUUCAGCUCAUUGGAAGCCCGUGAGCAAGCAGCCCACGAAAUUGCAGCUCCAAUUCAGUCCGCAAUUCCAGCCCGCCUUCAAUUCCAGCAGCCCAUCUUGAAGCCAGCAGGUUCUAUUUCAGUCAAGCCCGGCCCAAGACUUCAGCCCUACUUAAGUUCAGCUCAGCCCAUCUUCAGCAGGCCCAAUCCAACUUGGGUCCAGCCCAAAAGCAAGAACAAAUCUCAGUUGGGCUAAGAUUUUUUGGGCCAAGUUUAAGGCCCAGUCCAAGCUCGCCGGUGUCGUCGAAAGCCCAAUUUCGGCCGCCGUCGCGGUCUCCCGGUCCCCGCUUUUAAUCAAAAAAGAAAAUUGUAGAAACAUGCAAAGAAUUAUUGUGGGCAUGCUGAUCUCCUUCUACAGGCACUAGUCGCUUGAAUCUUAAAAUACAACAACAAGAGCACGAUAUGCAUCCCCCAUGCUCCGACAGUCAAGGUUGUAAAUGGUAAUACUCCAAUUUCGUUGUUCUUUUGUUCUUUUGUUUCUCGGAACGAAAAAAGAAUUAAAAUUCGUUUAGUAAUGUCAACUAAUUUUUUUAUUUUCC